GUCUCUGUAGUAUAGUGGUUAGUACUCUCGCUUGUGGAGCAGGAGCGGCCUAACGAUAACGCGAGCGACGUCGCGGCCGGGGACA